CAUCAUCAGCACCCUUGGUCCCAACAGGUUAGGUUAGCGGCAGAUAGCCUAGGUAGUUCUAACUUAGUCUUUAAUCAGAAGUGUACAAGGAAGGUUUAAUUUUAAAGAUAAUAAUAAGCUAAGUGUUUUUUUUAAAACUCACUCCCGUGAACUAAGAACUUAAUUGGCGCAGCCGUCCGGGAAUCCGGCUGAGUGGUUUUACAUGCGAUAACAGUGGACUGGUGUAUAAAGUGAACUCUUAUACCUUAAGUGAUUCCACGGAAGCAUCAACGUCUCGAAAGUGUGUACGUCGAGUUAAGAACCCCCCCGUGUGUAACCAUCUGAACAACCAGCAACAUCAGCCGAACAGGACACGGCAACACACUGCCUCAUCUUAGGCGGUGGGUGGAUUUUGGUGCCCAGGAACCGCCGCUUCCUCAGCCAUAGCAACGACUAGGUUUUAAGACCUACUUUUUUGGCAUUACCUCACAGGGGGCAUUGGUUACUCCAGGCGAGAGUUACUUUCCGAGGUAGCGGCUUGGGUGCGCCGACAUUGGUGCCUAGCUUCGCUGUCGGGGCCUGUAACUGCUGAAGACCACGAUCUCAUGAGAUUGAUCCUAGGACCGAAUCAUGAUGUUUUUCCUCCCCCAACGCGUGGGGGUGUUGGGGCGCCUUUGUCGCUUCGUUCAUUGUGGGAGACCCUGGACUCGGGACUUCCACGUCCCGUAUGAAGAUGCAGCAGACGUUCGGCGACGUCUGCUGCUUGAAUAAUGGGAUUAGGAUAUUUCAUAUCGGAGACCGAUCAAAACAAAAUGGUGAGACACAAUUACCACUUAAUGGCGCACUACCAAAACUUUUAUUAGAAGAACUGGACGACGCAAAAAUUUUCACGGGAAAAUUCAAUAUUAGGGUGAGUCUAGACUUAAAGCAGAUUGAUACUAAAAGAUACAGUAUAGGGAAUAUAAUCGAAGAAUACACGAAAGUCUGCGAAGCAAUGACACAAACACUGAACGAAAGCGCAAUUGAAGCUAUAAGGAAAAUGUUAGAUGUAGAAAACGGCAAACUACAAAACAGGGUGAUUUAAUAAAGACGUAAUAUUCUCCGAGGAAGCGACGAAGCAUAUGGAGUACAAUAGGGCUCAUGGACUCAGAGUCGAAGCUCGACAAACUACGAGGUAACGAGGAAAGGCUAAAAGGAGCCGUCUACGAACAGACCGGAAGUAUCAGUUCAAUAUACGACCUGGUCAACAGGUCAUUAAUCAAUAUAGAUAAAAAACAAUGGAAAUGUACGCCCAAAACGAAUUCUUAAAAAGGAUAUUACGAAUCAUAUUAAUUUCACGGAUGUUGUGAAAGAAUCAAUACUAACUGAGAAAAAAAUUAAAUAGUAUGGAGGCAAUUAUCCAAAAUAGAAUUAGAAUAACAAAGCAGAAACAGGAAAUGCUUCUAAAAAUCUUACUAGAAGGGUCAAGCACGCUGGAUAUUGUUACGAAGGUAAUCGAACUGGACAACCUACUAUCAAAAUGGAACAAUACGAAAAAACGCUACCAGAAACAGUAGAAUUUUUGCGCAAGUUAACGACCUUGCUACCCGGACUUGCAGCCGACGACACCUCAGCAGUAACCAGGCAGCAGAGCACAUUAUGUGCUGACGCAGAACACGGUAUACAUUUCGGCAUGUUGCUAAUUGUGACAACGUGUGCAGAACGCACGGCAGCUAGGGUAUUGAUGGUUUGAUUUAUCGGAAUAAAAGUCAGUCUUGAUUUAGCCUUAA